rnacentral:rRNA from 1 species
CUAAAAUCAGAUGAUGCAGCGGCUCGACAUCGAGACAGUUGUUAAAUCCUCGGAGCCUAAAGAUGAGCCUGCGUCUGAUUAGGUAGUUGGCGGUGUAAUGGACCACCAAGCCUGCGAUCAGUAGCUAGUCUGAGAGGAUGAUCAGCCACACUGGAACUGAGACACGGUCCAGACUCCUACGGGAGGCAGCAGUAAGGAAUAUUGCUCAAUGGCCGAAAGGCUGAAGCAGCAACGCCGCGUGGAGGAUGAAAUACUUUUGUAUGUAAACUCCUGUAAGAAGGGAAAAAUGUUCCGAUUCAUCGGAAUUGAUUGUACCUUCAGAGUAAGCCCCGGCUAACUACGUG